rnacentral:lncRNA from 1 species
GCUGCAGUAAUGGCCACGACUCUGCUCCACUUCCUAUGAUGGAUUCCAUGCGACUCUAUCACUCCCUGGCAGGCCACAGUAACGGCCACGAUUCUGCUCCACUUCCUGCGACGGAUACCGCGCAGUUUCUCCACCCUCUGACAAGUCGCGACAACGGAUGCCGCUCCACAACCCACAACAGGCUCCAUGUAUCAGGCCACGAUAAUGGCCACGAUUCCACUCCACUACUCUUCAUAACAGACUCCUCCUGGCUCCGAACGACGCACUGACAGAUGGUUACAAAAUGUCACCAUCAAGCCUGUUGCACCCUCCGCCUAUAAAAAGGGAAGAUCCCAGAUACGUUAUUCUCUAAGCUCUAAUUUUUAUCUCGAAACUCUGUUAAAAUUUUCGUUCGAGCACUCCAUUCUUGUUGACGC